rnacentral:rRNA from 1 species
CUAGUUGCACGAACUUAGAUUCGUAGCAGAUAGCUCAGUAACACGUGGCCAAACUGCCCUAUGGACACCAAUAACCUCGGGAAACUGAGGCUAAUGGGUGAUACAGCUCUUAUGCUUGAAUGCAGGGAGCUGGAAACGCUCAGGCGCCAUAGGAUGUGGCUGCGGCCGAUUAGGUAGACGGUGGGGUAACGGCCCACCGUGCCGAUAAUCGGUACGGGUUGUGAGAGCAAGAACCCGGAGACGGAAUCUGAGACAAGAUACCGGGCCCUACGGGGCGCAGCAGGCGCGAAACCUUUACACUGCACGACAGUGCGAUAAGGGGACUCCGAGUGCGAGGGCAUAUAGUCCUCGCUUUUCUGUACCGUAGGGAGGUACAGGAACAAGUGCUGGGCAAGACCGGUGCCAGCCGCCGCGGUAAUACCGGCAGCACGAGUGAUGGCCGAUAUUAUUGGGCCUAAAGCGUCCGUAGCCGGCCAGACAAGUCCGUUGGGAAAUCGGCGUGCCUAACACGUCGGCGUCCAGCGGAAACUGUUUGGCUUGGGGCCAGAAGAUCCGAGGGGUACGUCCGGGGUAGGAGUGAAAUCCCGUAAUCCUGGACGGACCACCGGUGGCGAAAGCGCCUCGGAAAGAUGGACCCGACGGUGAGGGACGAAAGCUGGGGUCUCGAACCGGAUUAGAUACCCGGGUAGUCCCAGCUGUA